CUCCGUGAUGCCCACAGGCUUCAAGUCAGCUCUCAAAGCCAUAGGACUCCUUGCACACGACUCCAGCACAAAGGAUGGCACACUUGUUCCAUACACUCAAACGGACCAAGCAAUGGCAUCACACUCACAUAAAACACACACACAGAAGCAGCCAAACCCUGAGCACGCACAUCCCCUCCUGCACUACUGGAGCCCACCGCUCACCUUCACACCUCCGUGCAUUUCUGCUGUUUUACACUGAUGCAGCCCUGCUACAGCUCCAUGCGUGUCACACAAGGCCUUCAGGACCUCUUGUUUCGCAAACCCCAUCUGCAGGCAUUGCUUCAUGAGCUUCACCACCUGCCCUCCUGAGCAAAAACAAACACUGAGAACAAGAGCAAAGCGCACUGGAUUCCACCUGGCCUGCUCCCCAAGCCUCAGUCCUGCCACACAUACCCUGCUAUGCAGACUCAUCC
rnacentral:lncRNA from 1 species